GGGAUUGUUUAGCUGAAAUGGAAGAUUUGAUAUCUGAACAAGGAGUUCUAAAUAAUUCUCUGCACCUUAAUCUGCCAAUACUCACUCUAAAACUACACAAAGGAGAUUCAAAAUAAAAAGAGGAUGAUAAACGGCAAAACCAUCUGAGGUAUUGCAUAAUUGAAACCACAGAUUGCUGCAAAAUAGCUUGGUAGAUAUGAGUAGUUGCCCAAGUUGCAGAAGAGGAUGCUGUUGUACACAUCAUCCUUGAGAUAGGAUGUAGAAACCCAGACACAGACGGAUUGAUGAUACUCUAGAUACCGAGCACUUCUUUAAUUUCUUCUUCUAACAACUGUGAAGUGGUCAAAAGGCAGAAAUGAGGAGGAAAGCAAAAAAGAAGAAGCCACAGGGUGUAGAUAAUCCACAAACAAGCUAAUUGGUCCCUGGGUAAUUGCUGACUCUCUUCAGCAGCCAUGCAAUGGAGAUUUCCAGGAAAAUGUAAAUACUGUAUUUAUAUCUGUUCAAAUUUUGUUUUCAAGAAUAAAAGUACUAAUCAGAUGGGUUUAAGUAUUUGA